CCACGGAGGAAUCUGAGUGACGUAAGCUGACCAUCCCUUCCAAGUUUCCACCUCCUCCUUCCCAACUCUCUCCAGCUAUAACUCUAUAAAUAAGGCGCAAAGGGUACCAUACAUAGGCUUGAAGACGCCACUCCAUAAGCAUCUUCCAAACCCUCUCUCUUCUCUUCUUCUCCUCUAUUCUCUAAACUGGACGCUAUUUGUCUUUUACCCAAACCCCAGAAAAGCAUGGUCGGACCUUCACUCCACACCCUCAAACCUACCUCCAUCAAAUUCCUCUGUAGCUACGGCGGCAAAAUCCUCCCCCGUUAUCCUGACGGCAAGCUCCGUUACGUAGGUGGCGAAACCCGUGUCCUCGCCGUUCACCGCUCCAUUUCGUUUGCCGAGCUGUUAUUGAAGCUCGGAGAAUUGUGUGGCGGAUCUGUGAGCCUUCGUUGCCAAUUGCCUACGGAGGACCUUGACGCUCUGGUAUCGGUCACCUCCGAUGAGGACCUCGCUAAUCUCAUCGAGGAGUACGACCGAGCGGCAUCGCCACCGUCGUCUCUGAAGAUCAGAGCGUUCCUUUCGCCGCCCAAAUCCACCAAAAAAACCAUUCCUUCUCCUCCUCCGUCGGCUUCAUCUUCGUCCAAAUCGUCGUCGUCGUCGUCUUCGGCGUCUCACAGUCCCACCGUUUCCACGCCAAGGUUUUCGGUGCCGGUGGCCGACAUGUGCCUUCGUCAGAUCUCGCCGCCGGUAGUGUUUCAGAAACAUGCCCCGAAGACUCUUCCUCACUGUGCUUACCGUGCUCAUGGAAACCCUAGGCACAUCUAUCUCAUCCACAACGGGAACCACUGGCAAUAGGCACCCAAACUGAUUGGAAUUGGACUACAACAUAUGCGACGCAAUCUAUAAAGAAGAAAAAAAUUACUGCUACAAACAGCAAAACCAAUUCAAAAACUUUCCGAGUUACAUAUAUAUAUGUCUGUGUGAGAUGUACUGGGACUGUAAAUCGUUGAGAAGGAUUGCUUUUGAUCCGUCGCCAUUAAUGAAUUUCAGUCCAAUUAGUUAAAAAAAAGUGGUGGUUAAUGAAGAAACAAGAAUGAAUCAGGCAGGGGAAGAUGAUAGCACUUGGCGGCGAUCGAGCAAGCGAUUUCCUUUCUUUAAGAUGAUUCGACCCAACUGCGACUGGGGUGGCACCGGUGUUCCUUUCACAUUAAUGAUUCAACAUAUAACUCCAAAGGCAAUGGCGAUACAUUUGGAAACCUUGGGGACCAUUGGAAAUAAUUCUGGCCCUCUCUACCGAAUUUAUUGAGAAAAAAAUAUUGAGCAUAUAUGGUACUUGGCCAUAAAAGUGACCCCAUGGCAGCUGGCGUACAUGAAGGUGCACCAAUAUAACAUAAAUUCAUAGAUUAAAAAAGUAGUCGAUCGGAAAGAGACCUAUUUGGUUUUGGGAAGGGGAAGGAUAAGAGGUAUGAUUUCUGGUAGGAAGAAAAGGGUCUCCACUCAAAAGCAAGAUUCCAUUUGCCGACCUGAUUAAUCGAGGAGCCAAACAAAAUGGAAAGAGAGCUCAUCAUUGUUAUCUUCUGAGGAAAAAGAAAAAGAAAAACAAAAACAAAUGGCGAUGUACGUAUGUCAUAGAACCCCAAUAUCGAUGGCCGACGUCGCGUCUAAUCCGUGCGCGUGAGGGCAAAGACUAAUGGGGGUGGGGGAUAACGUGCAAUUGCUGCUGAUUAAAAGGAACAAAGGCUUGUUUUGGGAUGAGAGGUUGGGACCCUCGGAUCGAAGCUGUAAAAUGCAUUAGAUAUGAUAGCAUGGUGACUCUGGUAAGCAAAAAGUAGUGCUGCUAUUUCAAAUCAGCAAAUUAGCACUUGCAUACUGUAAGUUUGGAGGAAGGUAUCUGGAUUUGGCGUCUUUUUUUUUUC